GCAGUGAGGAUCCUGCGGGCGGGUGACCGGCGCGGGGUGGUGUGGAAAUGGCCGAAAGGCCUUUGAGGACCUUUGCUGGGCCGGGAGGCGCGGCUCUCGCGAGAACGUGCCAAAGCCGUGGCUACUGUCCCCUGAAGGGGCGCGGGCGGGCAGGGCGCCAGCAGAGACCCAGGGCGGGCUCUGCGGACGCNAGCUGCCAGCCAGAGUGUCGCUCCCAGACCCUGCCACCCACUCUCUGGUGGAUGACUUGCAGGUCUUUAUGGGAACUUCGUCCCAGGUCANCUGUAAUUUUAAAAUAGACAACCAAUAUCCUGAGUUCUCUGAUGGCUCCCAUGGGGCUCCCUUUGUCCAACAGUUCAAUUAGCUAUAACCUAUUCCUGGCACUAGAGGGUCCACUUGAAGAUUUCCACCAAAUGACGACCCUCUGUUCUCCUAAAUCAUCUGUCACCUUAGACCAGGCAGAUUGGGACUUUCAGUCCCUGCGUAGGCAAAGAUCUGUGCCUCUACUAACCCCAAAGAAGUUGUAGGUGCCAAAUCUUCAGCUUCCAUAAAGUCUUUAAAUUGUGUGCUCACAGUCUCGGAGGAGAAAAUACCAACAGUGUAAAAGACAGGGAAGGCACAGAGACACGGGGAAGGGAAGGAGCCCUUUAAUCCAGAGUAUGCUCGAAGCCUUUUGAAGUAAAAUAAGGUAGAAAAUGUAAUCAUUAGAUANCUAUUUGCUGACUUAUUUAGUGAUUUACUUAAAGCACUGUUUGCACUGCCAUUUGCCAAGCAUGGCUUCCCUCGCUACCUGAGAGAAAUAGAUGAAACAAGGGGCCAUUGCCCUUAACAACCUUGGGAUUGCCACAGACGCUGCUGUAAAACCUCCCUUGAUUGCUCGCUCCACAUUGGUUUUAAUGAAUAGAACAAGAAUGAAAACUGCACCCUACUGAAGCUGUCCUGGCUUCAGCCCACCAAUGACAUCUCCUCCCUUCCACUCUCCUUGGUGUNGGAGUGCUUACUCCAGAACAAUUCCCACAACACUUUCACCAGCUAGUGACAAAAACCACAACCUAAUUAGCAGCAUCUGCUUACUGCUAUCCUCCCUUGCCGGUCGCAAACCUCCAUCG